CGUAGGCAGCGAGCGUUGUUCGGAGUUACUGGGCGUAAAGGGUGUGUAGGCGGUUGUUUAAGUUUGGUGUGAAAUCUCCCGGCUCAAACUGGGAGGGUGCGCCGAAUACUGAAUGACUAGAGUGUGGGAGAGGUGAGUGGAAUUCCUGGUGUAGCGGUGAAAUGCGUAGAUAUCAGGAGGAACACCGGUGGUGUAGACGGCUCACUGGACCAUAACUGACGCUGAGACACGAAAGCGUGGGUAGCAAACAGGAUUAGAUACCCUGGUAGUCCACGCCCUAAACGAUGCAUAUUUGGUGUGGGCAGUUCAUUCUGUCCGUGCCGGAGCUAACGCGUUAAAUAUGCCGCCUGGGGAGUACAGUCGCAAGGCUG
rnacentral:rRNA from 1 species